AAUUGGCAUUAAUUUGUUUGUUGUAUAGGUCGGUGAUGAUGAACGGAUUCAUGUAUACUAUGCUCGUGGAGAAGAUAACCCUACCUUUGUUCGCAGAUGUUACUGGCUACUUGACAAGACGCUGGAACACAUUGUCCUAGUUCAUUAUCGUGAAACUCAGGAGGUUUAUCUUCUGUGCCUUGUGAAGCUCUCUUAUUUAGUUCUUUGAGUAUGUCUAUAGUGUAUUCAUGUCUUUAGUCUGUAUAAAUUUUGUAGAAUAGUGCUGUAGAAAAUUGAGCAUAUUUCUAUGACAUGACGACCUUACUUGACUCUGGCUAUAUGUAAUGAAUUUAUAUACAGUAUAAUUCUAAUUUGCUGAAUUCUUAAAGACUAGAUAUGAAUCAAGAGGACCUGUGUGUUAGACGGAAGUUCCUAGACGUGGUUUUAACUUUCAAAUAUCAAUGGAGAGAAAUUCUACAGUGACAUAUCGCGACAUCAGAAUAACCAAUUGUGCAAUAUGAAGUCACAUGCAUUAACCACAAGUUCAUUCUUAGUGGCUUAAUAAGGUCUCUAGUUAAGAUAAAUUUGAAAGGAAAAAUUGUUAAAAAAUUCAUUUAUGGGCAGCUUCGAAGUCCCGUAUAAGAAUUUUUUAUUUGUGUUAUCUUGUACCGUGUUUCUUUUUACUCGUUUAGAUAUACUGGUACUUUAUCUA